rnacentral:tRNA from 1 species
AGAAUUAUGCCUGAGGUUAAGGGGCACUUUGAUAGGGUGUUCACAGAGGUUAAACCCCUCUUAAUUCUU